AACCUGCGCGUAACUCGUACUGACAGCACGAUGAUUCAAUUAAAAUUCUUAACAAGAGCUAUUCCUUUUCUUGUUAGACCUUCAAAAUGCGAUGAAUUUCAAGGCUAUUUAAGUAUCUGAUUUUGAUCUAUUCUUUGUGUUUUAUUUUGUAGUAAUUUUAGUUGGCGGACCAAAUAGCUUUGUAACUAAAGCAAAUCCUGACGAACUAAUAGUUUUGAAGCAUUUUAGCCUUCCAGUUUAUCAACGUGCGUUAACCUGUUAGUGUUGAUAUGUUCGAAAAAAAAAGGUGCUAGAAAAUCAUAGACUGUAGUAAUCAUGAAAAUUUGAGCAAUUUAAAAAAUAAAUAAAUAAAUUGCAUAUACACUCAUACAAAACGCGUAUACUGGAUUUAAAAUGAUACCGAUAACUUAUGUAACGUACUGGUAAACGCUCUAAAAAUCCUCUCUCUUAAGACAUAAGUACGGUUCAUUUAUUUUUAACCAUUGCAUAUUCAGCAUUUAACAGAUAGUCAAGUGUUCUUAGAGGGUCGUAAAAGGCACGUAAAUCCGCGGUGAUACCGCAUUGGUUGUUGUUCUUGUUGCAAUCCCACUUUUAAAUCGUUUGAUGAUAGCCUAAUCUAGGGCAAGUUUACGUUGAAAAGCACCACUUCUUCUAUUCUUGCAUAUAUAAAAUAUCCAGUUUUUUACCAUUCUAUAAUCUUGUCAUAAAUCGAACAAACACACCCGAAAUAAGCAAGAUUUUGCAUCUUUUUCGUGAGCUCAUUCUAGUGUGUAGAGGUUUCUAAAAAACGUUUGACACCCCCACCAUGCCUGUAAGGUGAGCUUUUAAACGAUUAAAUUAAUAGAAAUUUAGAUAAUUAUCACCUUGAUAUAACAUUUUGUGAAUGUGUUUUACAGUUAUACAGGUGUUAAAUCGAUGAGGGUUUCAUUUUCCACUCCCUUUCGUAAUACCUGUCUUUUUACAUAAUGUAUGGCUUGUCUGAUUACUUUGGCAUGAUCUACAAAUGAAGCGUUGUCUUACCCUCCAACCAACGAAAGUAUAUUUAAUAGACAACUACUUACAACAUGACUAGACGUAACGAAGCGAACAGUUGACAUGGUAAAUUUGGGUUUGUAUAUGGAAUAAAUGUACUAAACUGUAUUAACUCACUUCAAGAACUAGUGGUAGCAACAAACCUGUGAAGC